rnacentral:misc_RNA from 1 species
CAUCGUCGGUCGGCUUGUUUGACCCUCCUAUCUCGUGGGUGGGCGACUGGCCCCUAGAUGGAAUGACCGUGUCGGCACGUGAGCGGUGAUGGAUUCGCAUGCCACGGCGGGCUCCCUGCCACUGUGCANCCAACCGCCGUCGCUGCAGCCCCCUUCACUCGUGCUCCAACCACUCGGGGCCUCAUGCGUUGCCUGUACAACAUACCCGGUUCUCGGGCAAAUGACUUCGUCCAACAUGCUCGUCCGCUCCNCUCGCCUUUGUGCGGGCGCGGAGCGGCAAUGUCGGCGAUCCUCGUGCUCCCUCGGACGACGGCGCGGCUUUGGCCCCUCGUCUCGUCCCGAUCGGCCCUCGGGGAUUCGUCNGCGCUCGCGGACACGGUAGACAAUGUUGGCUCGGGGCUUUCGUAGCCCCCGCACCACGAUCGGUCGGCUCACUUCGCCGCCCUCAUCGAGACGACCG